rnacentral:piRNA from 1 species
CGUUGGGGAACUGAGGAAC